CUGAAGCUCUGCCAUCACGUGAUGUCGCAUACUGCUGUUUCUGAUGUCAUUUAAAAAAAAAAAAAAAACAAACAAUUACCUUCAGGGCAAUAUUCUUGUUGCCUUUCCAGUGCACCCGUAGUCUCUUUGAUUUGCACUAAAAUCGGUAAAAUUGUCUUGCAGGAUUUACAGUGGCUUAUGCUUGCUGGUAAACAAUGUUUGAAAAACAACAACAAAGGAAACGACUUGUUUUUAAUUGUUUUCCAAUCUCUUUCAGAUAUGACGACAUCUAGAACAUGAAAUCAUGACAGUGAAGUUUGUAUGUAGUUCAAUCCUAGAACCUCAACAGGGCUAAAGUAAUGAAACAGGUUUCCUGAGCAUGUGGGUUUCUUUGCAUACAAUGACAUCAAAUGCCCCAAGUCAGCCUGGAGAGCAGGUACACCGCCUAGAGCCACCUAGCAGCAAAUUUAAAGAAUCAUUUAGCAGGCAAGAGACAGGGUAAGACUUUAUAAUUGUAUUAAAGCAUCCAUAGCUGUGUAAGGAGGGGUUACAUGACAUGUUCUUCCAAAAACAGUAAGGCAGCAUGUACCUUUAUUAGUUUUACCUAAAUGCAAAUGCUCAGUCUUGGUAAAGAUAUGUGUUCUCCUGCUCUUUCUGCAGACCAGCUGAUGCCACAGGAGGGAGGAUGCCUCACCUUUAUGCCUCAAGGAAUCAACAAGAGUCAUCAGUGCAUCAAAGUUUAAUGGUACAGUACGUGAUAUCAAGGGCAGGCGGUCAACACUGGGGGAAGACAAGAAGCAGACGUACUUCCAAGAGGGAGCUGCAGUGAGGUCAGAGGAGGCGCUGGAAGGUUUCCCUAAUAGUUCCUGGUGAAUCAAAGCAGAACCAUAAAGGUUGCUGGACUGCAUGAUGGCCUUACCCCUGAGCCGUCAUCCUGUUAAAGGAGGAACCACUUAGCUGUUUUCAAAGUAGCUGAGCAGAUUUCUUCUCAACAGACAAAGCUGAUUGCAGAAGAUGUCGGAGAAGAACUUCAGGCCGUGGACUGAAAUGUAGAUCAAAGCAGCUCGUGCUCCUUCUGCUUCCAAUUUAGAAGAGAAGAAGAAGAAGAAGAAGGCGAAGGCUUCAGCGAAGUGGCGUUCAUGGUCUCAGUGAACAGUCACGGUCACACACUGUGGUUUUAAAAGCAACAUGUCUGUUCACCACAACAAUGGAGAUGUGUAAUAUUAGUGCAGCUACGGUUUGUU